UGGGGAAUAUUGCACAAUGGGCGAAAGCCUGAUGCAGCAACGCCGCGUGAGCGAUGAAGGCCUUCGGGUCGUAAAGCUCUGUCCUCAAGGAAGAUAAUGACGGUACUUGAGGAGGAAGCCCCGGCUAACUACGUGCCAGCAGCCGCGGUAAUACGUAGGGGGCUAGCGUUAUCCGGAAUUACUGGGCGUAAAGGGUGCGUAGGUGGUUUCUUAAGUCAGAGGUGAAAGGCUACGGCUCAACCGUAGUAAGCCUUUGAAACUGGGAAACUUGAGUGCAGGAGAGGAGAGUGGAAUUCCUAGUGUAGCGGUGAAAUGCGUAGAUAUUAGGAGGAACACCAGUUGCGAAGGCGGCUCUCUGGACUGUAACUGACACUGAGGCACGAAAGCGUGGGGAGCAAACAGGAUUAGAUACCCGAGUAG
rnacentral:rRNA from 1 species